rnacentral:pre_miRNA from 1 species
AGUGGGAUAGCUGGGUCAAAUGGUGGUUCCAGUCAAGGUUUUCCAAGGAAUCUCCAUACUGCUUUCCAUAUUGGUUACAUCAAUUUGCAGUCCCACCAGCAAU